rnacentral:misc_RNA from 1 species
AACGCACCUUGCACCCUUUGGUAUUCCGAAGGGUACACCCGUUUGAGUGUCAUUGUAAUCUCACUCCAACACCUUUAUUGAUGUUGGAUGUGGACUUGGAUGUUGUCGUGUUCAACGACUCGUCUUAAAUGCCUGAGUGUACCCUGCUUUGCAGCGUAUCAGUGUGAUAAACAUCUUCACUGUUAAGUCUUUCAGGACACGCUUGUGUUGUAGGCUCUAUGCUUUCCAACCGUCCUCUGGACAAUCUCUGACAAUUUGACCUCAAAUCGGGUGGGACUACCCGCUGAACUUAA